rnacentral:rRNA from 1 species
AAUGAACGUUGGCGGCGUGGAUUAGGCAUGCAAGUCGAGCGAGAACCCCGCAAGGGGGGACAGCGGCAAACGGGGUAGUAAUGUGUCGGAACGUGCCCUCUGGACGGGGAUAGCGGCGGGAAACUGCCGGUAAUACCCGAUGAACUCGAGAGAGCAAAGGUGUGAUUCCGCCGGAGGAGCGGCCGACAUGGUAUUAGCUAGUUGGCGGGGUAAUGGCCCACCAAGGCUGUGAUGCCUAGGGGAUGUGAGAGCAUGAUCCCCACCAUUGGGACUGAGACACUGCCCAGACACCUACGGGUGGCUGCAGUCGAGAAUCUUCGUCAAUGGGCGAAAGCCUGAACGAGCGACGCCGCGUGUGGGAUGAAGGCCUUUGGGUUGUAAACCACUGUCGAGGGGGAUGAAGGCUUGAAGGUACUCCUUCAAGUUUGACAGAGCCCUGGAGGAGGCACGGGCUAAGUUCGUGCCAGCAGCCGCCGUAAAAC